UGCUUUUUAAGGCACUGGGACGGAAAAAAAAAAGCAAUAUUUGCAUUGAGGAAAAAAACCCUCACAUUUGCAGAAGUGAUCUGAGAAGUCCAGAUGGCUCUUCAGAAAUGACUUGUUGGCCAACAGAACACAGCUUCUCUGGCCUUCAAGCAUGGAUAAAGGACCAACAGCAAUCAGGACUCCUCCAGACCAUUACUGUCAGAUUGACUGAAAAGUCCAGCCUCAUGGAUCAAAGAGUUGCUGAAUUUUCAGCUUCUACAGUCAGGAGCCAGCCCCUGUUGGACUACCCAGUCGACGAGUUAACCAACGGACUAAACUCCUUUAUAUGCAUUCAUUACACCACUUCUCUUCUUCCGGAGAAACCUAUUUAGUGCACUAUAUAAACGGAACCCUGAAAUAUU
ensembl:lncRNA